AUAUAAAAGAUCCCUAGAUAUUUAUUCAUAAAUCCUUUCUUUUCGAUUCUACUUAGAAAGGGAGAAAAAUUCCAACAAAGUAAGAGAUGAUCGAAGUGGAACAGCAGUAACACAAGCAAGUUACAAUUCUAUUAUUUAUAAAACAAAAAAUAAUUUAAAAAAAAGAGAAUAAUUGGGGUUGAUUGUGAUUGUGAUUAUCCGACAAGAGAAGACGAUGUCGUCGCCGGAUAUUGGGGGAAUUUUGGAUAACUCAAGGGAGCUUGAUCGGUUGAGGAAAGAACAAGAAGAAGUUCUUUCAGAGAUCAACAAGAUGCAUAAGAAGCUGCAAGCUACUCCAGAGGUGGUUGAGAAGCCUGGUGAUAAUUCUUUAUCGAGGCUGAGGAGUUUAUAUACUCAGGCCAAGGAUCUCUCCGAGAAUGAAGUAAAUCACCCCUUUUGCAUCUGGAAUUUUGGCUGCAGUGUUUCCAAUCUCCUUUUGGUUCAACUUGAUGCUCUACUUCCAUCUGGGCCUCCUGGGCAACAACGAAGGAGAGUAGAAGGUAACGAGCAGAAAAGGAAAAGAAUGAAGACUGACUCGGAUAUGCCAAGGCCUACAAUGAGAAAUCAACUCGAGGCUUGUGCUAGUCUAAAGGGUGAACAGGUAGCAGCCAGGGUCACUGGAAAUAAUGCUGAAAAAGAUGAGUGGUUUGUGGUAAAAGUGAUGCAAUUUGACAGGGAGACAAAAGAAUUUGAGGUACUUGAUGAGGAGCCAGGUGAUGAUGAAGAAGGCAGUGGCCAAAGAAAGUACAAGUUGCCUAUGUCAUGUAUUAUACCUUUCCCCAAGAAAAAUGAUCCAUCUAGUGCUACUGAUUUUCCUCCUGGAAGACAUGUUUUGGCCGUUUAUCCGGGGACAACAGCACUCUAUAAGGCCACUGUUGUCAGUACGCCACGGAAGAGAAAGGCAGACGAGUAUUUGCUGGAAUUUGAUGAUGACGAGGAAGAUGGAGCCUUACCCCAGCGGGCAGUACCUUUUUACAAUGUGGUGGCUUUACCUGAAGGACACCGUCAAUGAAUUUGUUCACUGUUUAUAGCUGUCUAUAAUAAAAGUUCUUAUCUUGUACACCAGACAAAUUUUGUAUUCCCCCACCCCCGCCCUUCCCUUGACCUAAAGGUGCACUGGUCUGCUAGUUCUGAAAAGGCGUUUCUAGCGAGUGGAGAAUAAGUCUUGAGUUCAUUGAUAAGAUGGGUUGGAGUAGAGAUGGUAAAGGUGCUUCAACAAGGAUGUUACUGUCAAUUCAUGGAGUAAUUGAACCCAGUAACAGAAACCAAGAAAUGGCAAAAACUUGGAAGUUGUUGAAACCCAAACUGAUAGAAAGGCUUGAGAUUCUGAAGAGGAUGACUGCAACCAUUAGCCCUAUGCUUGUCCGACACGAUUACUUGAAAAUGUUACCAUAAAGAACAAACAUGCUAACUGAGGCUAACAUGCACAUUGUGAACAAUCAAUCAUUUAUUGCUCUUUUUCUUUAUCUGAUAUCUAUAAUAGCAUGGAAAAUUCUUAAGAUCA